rnacentral:rRNA from 1 species
GAUGAACGCUGGCGGCGUGCCUAAUACAUGCAAGUCGAACGCUGGAGAUCUAGCUUGCUAGAUCGAAGGAGUGGCGAACGGGUGAGUAAUACAUAAGCAACCUACCCACGAAGACUGGGAUAAUCUCUGGAAACGGGGACUAAUACCGGAUAGGUAAUCGGAAGGCAUCUUCUGGUUAUUAAAGGUUAAAAACACUGGUGGAUGGGCUUAUGGCGCAUUAGUUAGUUGGUGAGGUAACGGCCCACCAAGACGAUGAUGCGUAGCCGGCCUGAGAGGGUGAACGGCCACAUUGGGACUGAGACACGGCCCAGACUCCUACGGGAGGCAGCAGUAGGGAAUUCUCGGCAAUGGGGGCAACCCUGACCGAGCAACGCCGCGUGAGUGAAGACGGCCUUCGGGUUGUAAAGCUCUGUUGUAAGGGAAGAACGGUAGAUAGAGAAUAUCUAAGUGACGGUACCUUACCAGAAAGCCACGGCUAACUACGUG